rnacentral:misc_RNA from 1 species
UGAUUUUAUGUAAUUAAACUUCCUUUUAAGUAAGCACAAAUCACCAUCCACAUUACUAAACUAACAAUCGGCUCUCUCUCCUUUUGCAGCUUGUAUUAAAAGGAACUCAAUCUUUGUUACAACUUGCAUUCGUUCUUGAUCCCUGCAAUACUGCUGCUAAGCAUGGACAAGGAAGAGGGCAAAUUGGUGGUCAUGGGACGGGCAGAGAUCGAUACACGACCUCCUUUCCAGUCUGUUAAAGAAGCAGUCAUGUUGUUCGGAGAAAAAGUUUUAGUUGGAGAGAUUUAUGCCAACAAGCUCAAAGAGAUGCGAGCAAAUGAAAGUGGGCAUUCCAAGUCCAGAAUGGGGGCUUUAGCAGCUGAGCUUGAGGAAAAGAAACUAAGCCUCCAAAAAGCAAGAGAAGAAACUGAAUUAAUGGUCAACUGCAUAAGAUCUCUUGGAGAAGAACUAGAACAAACAAAGAGAGAGCUGCAAUGGCUGAAGGCAAGGGAAAUGCUUAAGAAGCAACCUAUUAUUAUUGAUGAUUCUGAGAUUGAAGACCUCAAGUUCAUUGAAAAUGCAACCAAAGUGGAGAUGAAGAACCAAAUUGAUGAUGAAGCUGAGUUUGGAAAGAAGAGAUAUGUGAAAUUUGCUAGCCCUCCUUCAUUGACUAAGGUCAUUGUUACCAAAGAGGAAAUGCUUAAGAGACCUCCUUCAACUAAAAAGACCAUGAAGAAAAGGUCCCUAGUCCCUAUUUUAGGGUGGUUAUUUUCAAGAAACAAGGGAAACCAAGAGGGUGAAUCUCCUACAAGUUGAGGUUAUCACUGGCCAGCUUAAAAAAAUGCAAAUUACCGUACAGGGGACAUUAUCAAGAGCACACUAAAAAAAAAAGUCCCUUUCCCUUGCAUAGAUAGCACUACAAGAAAAUUCUUUUGGAUGCCCUUCGCUUUCCCUCUCUUAUGGUUUGGGUGAAAAAAUAAGAAGUUUUCAAACCUCAAAGUUGUGAAAUGAGCUUGGGCCUAUAACAGGCUUCUUUGAAAUUAUGGGAAUCUCUUGUUGUAUUGGGUCCAAAAAGAAUCCAAGUUCAAUGUUUCAUGUUUGAUGUUUCUACCUAGAAUUUAUAUAGACAAUAGGGAGUUCCGUGGACUUUCAAUAUCCAUGAAAACUCUGACCAGGUCGAUAUUUCACAUAG